GUGCUCGCUCUGGCAGCACAUAUACGAACGUUGGAGUGACGCAGAGAAAAUGAGCAUGGGGUUUGAGCAAGGGUGACACACACAUUUCGUGAGGUGUUCCGUAUUUUU
rnacentral:snRNA from 1 species